rnacentral:rRNA from 1 species
GACGAACGCUGGCGGCGUGCUUAACACAUGCAAGUCGAACGGAAAGGCCCUGCUUUUGUGGGGUGCUCGAGUGGCGAACGGGUGAGUAACACGUGAGUAACCUGCCCUUGACUUUGGGAUAACUUCAGGAAACUGGGGCUAAUACCGGAUAGGAGCUCCUGCUGCAUGGUGGGGGUUGGAAAGUUUCGGCGGUUGGGGAUGGACUCGCGGCUUAUCAGCUUGUUGGUGGGGUAGUGGCUUACCAAGGCUUUGACGGGUAGCCGGCCUGAGAGGGUGACCGGGCACAGUGGGACUGAGAUACGGCCCAGACUGCUGCGGGAGGCAGCAGUGGGGAAUAUUGCAGAAUGGGCGGAAGCCUGAUGCAGCAACGCCGCGUGCGGGAUGACGGCCGUCGGGUUGUAAACCGCUUUCGCCUGUGACGAAGCGUGAGUGACGGUAAUGGGUAAAGAAGCACCGGCUAACUACGUG